UACGUAGGGGGCAAGCGUUGUCCGGAAUUAUUGGGCGUAAAGAGCGCGUAGGCGGUCCGAUAAGUCGGCUGUGAAAGUCAGGGGCUCAACCCUUGGAAGCCGGCCGAUACUGUCGGACUAGAGUCCGGAAGAGGCGAGUGGAAUUCCCGGUGUAGCGGUGAAAUGCGCAGAUAUCGAGAGGAACACCUGCGGCGAAGGCGGGUUGCUGGGCUGACACUGACGCUGAUGCGCGAAAGCCAGGGGAGCGAACGGG
rnacentral:rRNA from 1 species